GACGAACGCUGGCGGCGUGCUUAACACAUGCAAGUCGAACGGUAAGGCCCUAGCUUUGUGGGGUACACGAGUGGCGAACGGGUGAGUAACACGUGAGUGACCUGCCCUGCACUUCGGGAUAAGCCUGGGAAACUGGGUCUAAUACCGGAUAGGACCUCACGGUGCGGGGGUGGUGGAAGGUUUUUUCGGUGGGGGAUGGGCCCGCGGCCUAUCAGCUUGUUGGUGGGGUAGUGGCCUACCAAGGCGGCGACGGGUAGCCGGCCUGAGAGGGUGGACGGCCACAUUGGGACUGAGACACGGCCCAGACUCCUACGGGAGGCAGCAGUGGGGAAUAUUGCACAAUGGGCGGAAGCCUGAUGCAGCGACGCCGCGUGGGGGAUGACGGCCUUCGGGUUGUAAACCCCUUUCGCCAUCGACGAAGCGUUUCUGACGGUAAUUGGAGAAGAAGCACCGGCUAACUACGUG
rnacentral:rRNA from 1 species